rnacentral:rRNA from 1 species
AGUGAACGCUGGCGGUAGGCCUAACACAUGCAAGUCGAACGGCAGCACAGUAAGAGCUUGCUCUUACGGGUGGCGAGUGGAGGACGGGUGAGGAAUACAUCGGAAUCUACUUUUUCGUGGGGGAUAACGUAGGGAAACUUACGCUAAUACCGCAUACGACCUACGGGUGAAAGCAGGGGAUCUUCGGACCUUGGGCGAUUGAAUGAGCCGAUGUCGGAUUAGCUAGUUGGCGGGGUAAAGGCCCACCAAGGCGACGAUCCGUAGCUGGUCUGAGAGGAUGAUCAGCCACACUGGAACUGAGACACGGUCCAGACUCCUACGGGAGGCAGCAGUGGGGAAUAUUGGACAAUGGGCGCAAGCCUGAUCCAGCCAUACCGCGUGGGUGAAGAAGGCCUUCGGGUUGUAAAGCCCUUUUGUUGGGAAAGAAAAGCAGCAGGUUAAUACCCCGCUGUUCUGACGGUACCCAAAGAAUAAGCACCGGCUAACUUCGUG